rnacentral:rRNA from 1 species
UACGGGGGGAGCAAGCGUUGUUCGGAUUUACUGGGCGUAAAGGGCGCGUAGGCGGCCACUGCAAGUCAGUUGUGAAAUCUCCGGGCUUAACCCGGAAAGGUCAACUGAUACUGCAGGGCUAGAGUGCAGAAGGGGCAACUGGAAUUCUCGGUGUAGCGGUGAAAUGCGUAGAUAUCGAGAGGAACACCUGCGGCGAAGGCGGCGCUCUGGGCCGGUACUGACACUGAGGAGCGAAAGCGUGGGUAGCAAACAGG